rnacentral:rRNA from 1 species
GAUGAACGCUGGCGGCGUGCCUAAUACAUGCAAGUCGAGCGAACAGAUAAGGAGCUUGCUCCUUUGACGUUAGCGGCGGACGGGUGAGUAACACGUGGGUAACCUACCUAUAAGACUGGGAUAACUCCGGGAAACCGGGGCUAAUGCCGGAUAAUAUUUAGAACCGCAUGGUUCUAAAGUGAAAGAUGGUUUUGCUGUCACUUAUAGAUGGACCCGCGCCGUAUUAGCUAGUUGGUAAGGUAACGGCUUACCAAGGCAACGAUACGUAGCCGACCUGAGAGGGUGAUCGGCCACACUGGAACUGAGACACGGUCCAGACUCCUACGGGAGGCAGCAGUAGGGAAUCUUCCGCAAUGGGCGAAAGCCUGACGGAGCAACGCCGCGUGAGUGAUGAAGGUCUUCGGAUCGUAAAACUCUGUUAUUAGGGAAGAACAAAUGUGUAAGUAACUGUGCACGUCUUGACGGUACCUAAUCAGAAAGCCACGGCUAACUACGUG